rnacentral:rRNA from 1 species
AGGCUCAGGACGAACGCUGGCGGCGUGCCUAAUACAUGCAAGUCGAACGAACUCUGGUAUUGAUUGGUGCUUGCAUCAUGAUUUACAUUUGAGUGAGUGGCGAACUGGUGAGUAACACGUGGGAAACCUGCCCAGAAGCGGGGGAUAACACCUGGAAACAGAUGCUAAUACCGCAUAACAACUUGGACCGCAUGGUCCGAGCUUGAAAGAUGGCUUCGGCUAUCACUUUUGGAUGGUCCCGCGGCGUAUUAGCUAGAUGGUGGGGUAACGGCUCACCAUGGCAAUGAUACGUAGCCGACCUGAGAGGGUAAUCGGCCACAUUGGGACUGAGACACGGCCCAAACUCCUACGGGAGGCAGCAGUAGGGAAUCUUCCACAAUGGACGAAAGUCUGAUGGAGCAACGCCGCGUGAGUGAAGAAGGGUUUCGGCUCGUAAAACUCUGUUGUUAAAGAAGAACAUAUCUGAGAGUAACUGUUCAGGUAUUGACGGUAUUUAACCAGAAAGCCACGGCUAACUACGUGCCAGCAGCCGCGGUAAUACGUAGGUGGCAAGCGUUGUCCGGAUUUAUUGGGCGUAAAGCGAGCGCAGGCGGUUUUUUAAGUCUGAUGUGAAAGCCUUCGGCUCAACCGAAGAAGUGCAUCGGAAACUGGGAAACUUGAGUGCAGAAGAGGACAGUGGAACUCCAUGUGUAGCGGUGAAAUGCGUAGAUAUAUGGAAGAACACCAGUGGCGAAGGCGGCUGUCUGGUCUGUAACUGACGCUGAGGCUCGAAAGUAUGGGUAGCAAACAGGAUUAGAUACCCUGGUAGUCCAUACCGUAAACGAUGAAUGCUAAGUGUUGGAGGGUUUCCGCCCUUCAGUGCUGCAGCUAACGCAUUAAGCAUUCCGCCUGGGGAGUACGGCCGCAAGGCUGAAACUCAAAGGAAUUGACGGGGGCCCGCACAAGCGGUGGAGCAUGUGGUUUAAUUCGAAGCUACGCGAAGAACCUUACCAGGUCUUGACAUACUAUGCAAAUCUAAGAGAUUAGACGUUCCCUUCGGGGACAUGGAUACAGGUGGUGCAUGGUUGUCGUCAGCUCGUGUCGUGAGAUGUUGGGUUAAGUCCCGCAACGAGCGCAACCCUUAUUAUCAGUUGCCAGCAUUAAGUUGGGCACUCUGGUGAGACUGCCGGUGACAAACCGGAGGAAGGUGGGGAUGACGUCAAAUCAUCAUGCCCCUUAUGACCUGGGCUACACACGUGCUACAAUGGAUGGUACAACGAGUUGCGAACUCGCGAGAGUAAGCUAAUCUCUUAAAGCCAUUCUCAGUUCGGAUUGUAGGCUGCAACUCGCCUACAUGAAGUCGGAAUCGCUAGUAAUCGCGGAUCAGCAUGCCGCGGUGAAUACGUUCCCGGGCCUUGUACACACCGCCCGUCACACCAUGAGAGUUUGUAACACCCAAAGUCGGUGGGGUAACCUUUUAGGAACCAGCCGCCUAAGGUGGGACAGAUGAUUAGGGUGAAGUCGU